AACGAACGCUGGCGGCAUGCCUAACACAUGCAAGUCGAACGAUUGCCUUCGGGUGAUAGUGGCGCGCGGGUGCGUAACGCGUGGGAAUCUGCCCUUAGGUUCGGAAUAACAGCUGGAAACGGCUGCUAAUACCGGAUGAUAUCGCGAGAUCAAAGAUUUAUCGCCUGAGGAUGAGCCCGCGUUGGAUUAGGUAGUUGGUGGGGUAAAGGCCUACCAAGCCGACGAUCCAUAGCUGGUCUGAGAGGAUGAUCAGCCACACUGGGAUUGAGACACGGCCCAGACUCCUACGGGAGGCAGCAGUGGGGAAUAUUGGACAAUGGGCGCAAGCCUGAUCCAGCAAUGCCGCGUGAGUGAUGAAGGCCCUAGGGUUGUAAAGCUCUUUUACCCGGGAAGAUAAUGACUGUACCGGGAGAAUAAGCCCCGGCUAACUCCGUG
rnacentral:rRNA from 1 species